GAUGAAGAACGCAGCGAAAUGCGAUACGUAAUGUGAAUUGCAGAAUUCAGUGAAUCAUCGAGUCUUUGAACGCACAUUGCGCCCCCUGGUAUUCCGGGGGGCAUGCCUGUCCGAGCGUCAUUAUAACCACUCAAGCUCUCGCUUGGUAUUGGGGUUCGCGGUUUCGCGGCCCCUAAAAUCAGUGGCGGUGCCUGUCGGCUCUACGCGUAGUAAUACUCCUCGCGAUUGAGUCCGGUAGGUCUACUUGCCAGCAACCCCUAAUUUUUUUAAGGUUGACCUCGGAUCAGGUAGGGAUACCCGCUGAACUUAAGCAUAUCAAUAAGCGGAGGA
rnacentral:misc_RNA from 1 species